AUGGCAACUCUUAAGGAAAAACUCAUUGCACCAGUUGGAGAAUAAGAAGUGAUGGUCCCAAACAAUAAGAUUACUAUAGAGAGUGUUGGACAAGUUGGUAUGGCAUUCUGGGAAAGUUUCCGGCUGAUGAACUUGCUCUUGUGGAUGUUUUGGAGGAUAAGCUUAAAGGAGAAAUGAUGAAUCUGUAGCAUGGGACCUUAUUUCUUCAUAUGCCUAAAAUUGUGGCAGAUAAAGAUCAUUCUGUGACCAUCAAUUCUAAGAUUGUAAUGAUAACUGCAGGAGUCCGUCAACAAGAUGGGGAGAGUCGUCUCAAUCUGGUGCAGAGAAAUCUUAAUGUCUUCAAAUUCAUUAUUCCUCAGAUCAUCAGGUACAGUCCUGAUGGCAUCAUAAUUGUGGUUUCCCAACCAGUAGAUAUUCUUAUGUUACCUGGAAACUAAGUGGAUUACCCAAACACUGUGUGAUUGGAAGUGGAUGUAAUCUGGAUUCUGCUAGAUUUUGCUACGUUAUGGCUGAAAAAUUUGGCAUUUAUCCCAGCAGCUGCCAUGGAUGGAAUUUGGGAGAAUAUGGCAACUAAAGUGUGGCUAUGUGGAGUGGCGUGAAUGUGGCAGGUGUUUCUCUACAGGAACUGAAUCCAGAAAUGGGAACGGACAAUGAUAGUGAAAAUCAGAAGGAAGUGCAUAAGAUGGUGGCUGAAAGUGCCUAUGAGGUCAUCAAGCUGAAAGGAUAUACCAACUGGGCUACCGGAUUAAGUGUGCAGAUCUUAUUGAAUCCAUGUGAAAGUCUACCCAGGAUUCAACCCAUGUCAACGAUGGUAAAGGGGAUGUUUGGCAUUGAGAAUGAAGUCUUUCUGAGCCUUCUGUGUAUCCUCAAUGCCCAGGGAUUAACCAGCAUUAUAAACCGGAAGCUCAAGGAUGAUGCGGUUGCUGAGCUCAGGAAAAGCGCAGAUACCCUAUGGGACAUCCUACAAGUCCCAAAGAAGGACCUAAAAGUCCUGUGACUACUGGGCUCUAGGCUGCAGAAGUUUAAAAACUACAAGGAGAUUAACUCUGAGCCUUUAGUUUUCAUCCAUGUACAUGGAUCGCAGUUUGCUUUGAUCUUCAAUAUGUGAAUUUGGGCUCACAGAAUCAAAGCCUAUGCUGGGUUUAAUGCUUGCAAUAUGAGUUCUUGAACAAAUAAAAUUAACUUCUGUAGUGUG